UUUCACACGGUAUCAUCGUUAAAACUUUUGAGCCACUUUGGAGCAUUUAAGGAAUUUUAAUUUUUUUACUGUAAUUCGGUCAUAAAUACACGUAGAGACAUUUAGAUAUCGCUUGUUGUUUAAUAAAAUUUAAGGUGGUGUGGAAACUUACACGAUUUGGUUAUAAUAAUAUUAGUAAUUGUAUAUUAUUAUAGCCUCUCCUUGUUUGUUUAUCCUAGAAUGAAUAAGGUAAAAUUUAACGAUUAUAAACAUCAAACGCCGUAGGUACUUGACAUAAUAAUAACAAUAAUAAUUAUGUAUUAUUAUGGGACUGGCGACAUUCUCCUUUCGUGAUAAUGGUAAAUGACACUAUAGUAUUAUACAGUAUCACGCAAACUAAACAUUCAUAGAUAAAGAUGAAAAAUAAUUGGAUACAAUUCAUCUAGAUACAGAUAAAAUAUAGUUAAAAUCCAAAUUAUCUAGAUAAAGAUAAAAGAUAUACUACUUUUUAUCUGGAUUAAAAAUAAAUGUAUUUUAAUAUUAAUAACACUCUUUUAUCAAUAUAAAUACAAUAUUAAUAUAAUUAAAUUUCAGUUUCCACCCCCCCGCAUACAUGUCGGAAAGAAAAAUUGAUGUUUUUUAAAUUGUACAGCAGCGUUUACAUAAAUAUAUACGAGUACCAAUACUAUUUCGGGAAGUCAAUGAAUUUAUUUUAACUAUAUUUAGAAUUGAGCAGAUAGUGUUCAUUCAAAAUAUCAUUGUUGUGCACGUGUGUGUGUAUGUGUGCGCGUGUGAACGUGUAUGAUAUGGGCAUGUGAACUUCUUAAGAACUAUGGACUAUGAUCUAUAUAACUUCACAUUGCGAUCAUGAGCCAGUAUCGGGUAGUAUAGAAUAAGACAUUUUGUGAAUAAGAAACACGGACAAUUAUUAUUACUUUAUAUUAUAGACUAUGAAAAUUAAAAAUUAAAAUUGUUAGACUAAACAGAAAUGCUUAAAAAUCUAACGGGAAGUAAAAUAAAAAUCGUACCUGUGAU